AGAGUGAACGCUGGCGGUAGGCCUAACACAUGCAAGUCGAACGGCAGCACGGUAAGAGCUUGCUCUUAUGGGUGGCGAGUGGCGGACGGGUGAGGAAUACAUCGGAAUCUACCUUUUGGUGGGGGAUAACGUAGGGAAACUUACGCUAAUACCGCAUACGCCCUUCGGGGGAAAGCCGGGGACCAGCAAUGGCCUGGCGCUGAUAGAUGAGCCGAUGUCGGAUUAGCUAGUUGGUGAGGUAAUGGCUCACCAAGGCGACGGCGGGUAGCCGGCCUGAGAGGGUGACCGGCCACACUGGGACUGAGACACGGCCCAGACUCCUACGGGAGGCAGCAGUGGGAAUAUUGCACAAUGGGCGCAAGCCUGAUGCAGCAACGCCGCGUGAGGGACGAAGGCCUUCGGG
rnacentral:rRNA from 1 species